rnacentral:tRNA from 1 species
UGACUAGAGCCAGAUUUGAACCAGAGACCUAAGAGUCACCAUUGUUGCGUCUACAGUCCUGCGCUCUGCCAACUGAGCUAUCAAGGGGUC